UAUAAGCAGCCCCAAUUAAAUGUUUUCCUUUAUAAGAGUCAUGGUCUCUCUCUUCACAGCAAUGGAAAUCCUAAAUAAGACAAGUCCUAUCCAAUUGUGAUGCCUAUGAACCACAACAACGUCUAUCAUUGCAAGGAACGUUUUGAGGGCUCUUGAGAUCUGCAGCACAGAACGGGAAGGAGAAAGGAGAGUCUGGAGAAAAGAUAGGUUCCACAUGACCCGGUUCCAUCUUGUCCAAAAGAAUUCUACCGAUCUGUUAGACAGCAGUUUCCUCCUAGAUCACGCCCUUCAUUUGGGAGGAAAACUCAUUGAGACGUGGGAUGCCAAGGGAAAGUGAAACAAUGGGGUAUCUUAGGACUCGGUGUUUACAAGGAGGUGAAACGACAAGACAUUCCAAAGGAAGAGAAACACUAUUACACAGAAGCCCCAUUAAGACAGGAAAUAAAUGGCUCAAAAUAGCUUCCAGGAGUUCCUGAAACUGACCAGAUUAACGAGGCCCCUCCUACAACAGGAGUCUAUGCAAGUGACUCUUAGAUAAGUCAAACUGUAAUGACUUCUGGGACAAGCCAAGCAACCUGGAAGAAGCACCAGCUAGACUGCCUAGAAGAUACAAAGCGGCAGAGCUGCAGGGAAGACGCUCAGAGCAACUGAGCUACCCAGAAAAGACACCCUUGGAGCUGCCUUAAGGCUGGGCAGUGUGCUCCAGGCCCCAGCUUUCGUGAGUUGUCACCUAUGCCGGGAUAGGCUUUGGUGAUGCAACUGUCUUUGAGUCAUUUCUGGUCCUGUAAGUAACCCCUCACCCUUUGCCUUGUAAGUGACUUCAGUAAAACUUACGAGCUCACCGAGUUGAAUGAACUUUAGUGGUAUCCACAUUUUGAUCUGUCGUGGGCUCCCUAUCUGGGGUGAGCAGGUGGUUGUACACUUUUUUUUUUCCCCAAGAAAAUGUUGUCACACAGCAUCCUCCAUUCCAAGACCCAAAGAGCCUCUUACCUGAACCUGGCAACUCGCAAAUGAAGGAGCUGAGGAGCAACUCUGAGCCAGUGGCCCAGACACUGUGCUCAUGCGUUCAUAGCCAAUGGGGACAUCCUGCUGUCCAUGACGUCAGAGCCUUUCCCCUUUUCACCUCUUUAAUCCAGUGAUAGAAAUCCUCUAUGACAAUUUAAUCCUCAGAGGAACUUUUACUCACGCUAACUGAAUAAAUAUAUCCCAGAAUGAGACUCUGAAAUAGGGACUUAAAAUUGCCCUGGUCUUCAAAAACCAAGGCCCUGUCCACUGUUCCCAGACAUACCUGAAGAUAAGGUCUAUUGGGUCUUAUUUUAAAAAGUCCAAAUCGUGGAAGCAUUUGCUCCAAAAACGUAACUGAGUUCCUU
rnacentral:lncRNA from 1 species